UACGUAGGGUGCGAGCGUUGUCCGGAUUUAUUGGGCGUAAAGGGCUCGUAGGCGGCCUGUCGCGUCGGGAGUGAAAGCCCACUGCUUAACGGUGGGUCUGCUUCCGGUACGGGCGGGCUAGAGUAUGGCAGGGGAGACUGGAAUUCCUGGUGUAGCGGUGGAAUGCGCAGAUAUCAGGAGGAACACCGGUGGCGAAGGCGGGUCUCUGGGCCAUUACUGACGCUGAGGAGCGAAAGCGUGGGGAGCGAACAGG
rnacentral:rRNA from 1 species